rnacentral:pre_miRNA from 1 species
ACCAAAGUCCCUCCCUCGUCAACAGAUACGUCUACCGUAUUACUUUUCAUGUCCUUUUAAUUAAGAUAUUUAUAUAAAUUUAUAUAAAUAUCUUAAUUAAAAGGACAUGAAAAGUAAUACGGUAGACGUAUCUGUUGACGAGGGAGGGACUUUGGU